CAUUCACCCACAUGGUUACCAACUGGUCGCCUUCGCGCCACUUUCCUAACCCCGCAAUCGUCUCCAGCGGCGGCGCCUGGCUCCGGAUCCAACCCGGGUCGCCUCGGAUCUCACCCCGCGUGUCGUUUUUGUCCGCCGGUAGAAAAGUUUUCGGCACAGUUCGCUGUUUAUCCCGCUCUCUGUUUGUCGCGGAGAGACCACACGGCAGCCCGAGCAAGUGAGCGAAGAUGGUGGAUUUCGGCUGAUCCACCAUGCAGUCCCGGACCUCUUCCCUCUUCUGAUCAGAGCAGUGUGACCAUCCUCUCCUGUGGUGCUGGAGGGCAGUGAUGCUGUAAUCAGUCUGUGUAUUGUCAAAGUGCUUACAGUGCAGGUAGUACUAUGCAAUACCUACUGCAGUGGAGGCACUUACAGCAAUACCCCGACACUGGUGUGCAGAGUCUCCGGUGUUAUUGUCAUUUGACGUACUGUCUUUGUGCUAAGGUGCAUCUAGUGCAGAUAGUGAAAUAGACUAGCACCUACUGCCCUAAGUGCUCCUUCUGGCAUAAGGGGCUGUGAUCAUGCGCCAACCAGACUCAUUUCUAAUUUCUAAUUUGGCUCAAAUAUCUCGCAGUUCUCUGCUAGUUUUGCAUAGUUGCACUACAAGAAUAGAUGAGUUGUGCAAAUCUAUGCAAAACUGAUGGUGGCCUGCUUGCUCUCCACCUGUUAAGAUGUUUGGUUUCGGGGGGUUGUCACAUCAAACACAAUCUGACUGUACAAUACGCUGUGUAAUGCUGUUUUUAAAAAAAAAAACAGGAGUACUUGACAGUUCUUGCCCCCUGACUUCAGUUUCAGCAGUACUAAAGUGCUUAUAGUGCAGGUAGUGAUUUCUCCCUAUCUACUGCAAUGUAAGCACUUGAAGUACUUCUAACUAACUGCAUCUCUCUGAAGAUUGGACGUCUAUUUUUUGUCCAAAACUCAUCUGUUGAUCACCACCUGGUCAGUUUUGCUGGUUUGCAUUCAGCUUUAACUAAUGUUCGCUGUGCAAAUCCAUGCAAAACUGACUGGGAUGGUGAACUGUGCUUCACCAAAGGAUUUCUUUUAAUCAAGAAUAUUUUUGCUGCAUGGUGGGUAUUUGCAUGUUCUUGGAUGUGUACUGUUUGGGUAUGCGUAGCUGUCCCUUCCUGUGCAGGUGGGGAUUAGUAGCAAUGCUGUGUACCUGGAGGUAUUGCACUUGUCCCGGCCUGUGUAGGAACGAGGAGAUGGAGCUGACCCGGAUCCUGACCUGAAUAUCCAGAAACCUGUUGUGUCCUGUUACAUGUCCUGUAAUGUUUUGGUCGGUAAAAUGUAUGUUUUCAAUUGUAUGUAAUUUUGCUGGUAAAAGAUUAAAAGUUUUUCUGCCAAUU